CUUGAAAAUGUAGGUGGAAAGAUUAAGA
rnacentral:piRNA from 1 species